UAUUCCAAAUAGUAGCUUUUGGUUCGGAAAUAAUGGGGGGAAUAAGUCCUUGUUUCCCCAUUUGUUCCCAAACGCCGUGUUUGGUUUCCGGGAACAGUAGUUCCGGGGUUUCUGGAAUAAGCUGGUAUAAGGCUGAAACUGUUGUUCCACCUUUUCCUCGGAACAACCUUGUUCCCGAAUAAGAACAAGGUUAAUUAAAGUCUAAAUUUAAUUUUAAUAACAGUAAAUCUUUAAUUAAUCCAAUUAAUAUAUUUAAAUUAUUAUUUAUUACUUAAAUAAUAAAAUAAUUUAUUUAUUUAUUAUUUAUACACUACAACAAAAACGGUGUAUAGUGACAUUUUUAAAUGUCGGUACAGAUAAAAAAAAGUGUUGCUAACUAAAUUACCGACACUUUUAAAAAGUGUUGCUAUAUGUGGGGUCGCUAGGUAUAUAAUGACAGUUUAAAAGUAUCGGUAUAAUCUAAAAAAAAUGUUGCUAAAUUACCAAUACUUAUUUAAGCAUUUAGCAACCGUUGGAAUCCUACCUCGUCGACUGCGGCGCAGAGGAGAAGGAGAGCGAGGGGCUCAUCAUUUAGGGUUUCAGUAGAUUGAGUGAGGGGAGAAGGGUAAUGGUGAUCGAUUUUUCGUUAUCUUUUUUCUUUUUUGUUUGUAA
rnacentral:lncRNA from 1 species